GCCGGUGUAGCUCAGGGGUAGAGUGCUUCCUUGGUAAGGAAGAGGUCACGAGUUCAAUUCUCGUCAUUGGCUCGA
rnacentral:tRNA from 2 species